CCCUUAGAUGUUCUGGGCCGCACGCGCGCUACACUGAACAGUUCAACAAGUCUUAACCUUGGCCGAUAGGUCUGGGUAAUCUUUGAACGCUGUUCGUGAUUGGGAUAGACCUUUGCAAUUAUGGGUCUUCAACGAGGAAUUCCUAGUAAACGCAAGUCAUCAGCUUGCAUUGAUUACGUCCCUGCCCUUUGUACACACCGCCCGUCGCACCUACCGAUUGAAUGGUCCGGUGAAAUCUCGGGACGGCGGCUUGGUCGCUUGCGUCCGACUGCUGAAACUUGAUUAAACCAUAUCAUUUAGAGGGAGGUGAAGUCGUAACA
rnacentral:rRNA from 1 species